AACUCAUCCAGAGCAGUGGAGGGAUAGGCCCAAUGAAGCUGCGGCAACCAUCGCAAAAGCGAAACGGUGCCAAUUCCUUUAGGCAAAGCCUAUAAGAUGAGAG
rfam:Selenomonas ruminantium strain C3 genome assembly, contig: IE42DRAFT_scaffold00001.1